rnacentral:rRNA from 1 species
CCCUUAGAUGUUCUGGGCCGCACGCGUGCUACACUGAGUAAAUCAAUGGGUAAGGGAACACGAAAGUGCAACCUAAUCUUGAAAUUUGCUCGUGAUGGGGAUCGACGGUUGCAAUUUUCCGUCGUGAACGAGGAAUACCUUGUAGGCGCGUGUCAUCAUCACGUGCCGAAUACGUCCCUGCCCUUUGUACACACCGCCCGUCGCUCCUACCGAUUGAGUGAUCCGGUGAGGCUCUGGGACCUGGACGGAAAGAGCGUUUCGCUUGUUCUGUUUGGGAAACUUGGUCGAACCUUAUCAUUUAGAGGAAGGAGAAGUCGUAACA